AACCUUUACACUGCACGACAGUGCGAUAGGGGGACACCGAGUGCGAGGGCAUAGAGCCCUCGCUUUUGUAGACCGUAAGGAGGUCUACGAAUAAGGGCUGGGCAAGACCGGUGCCAGCCGCCGCGGUAACACCGGCAGCCCGAGUGAUGGCCGAUAUUAUUGGGCCUAAAGCGUCCGUAGCUGGCCGCACAAGUCCGUCGGGAAAUCCACUCGCUUAACGAGUGGGCGUCCGGCGGAAACUGUGCGGCUUGGGACCGGAAGAUCCGAGGGGUACGUCCGGGGUAGGAGUGAAAUCCCGUAAUCCUGGACGGACCACCGAUGGCGAAAGCACCUCGGAAGGACGGAUCCGACAGUGAGGGACGAAAGCUGGGGUCUCGAACCGGAUUAGAUACCCGGGUAGUCCCAGCUGUCAACGAUGCCCGCUAGGUAUGGCGCAGGCUACGAGCCUGUGCUAUGCCGUAGCGAAGGCGCUAAGCGGGCCGCCUGGGAAGUACGUUCGCAAGAAUGAAACUUAA
rnacentral:rRNA from 1 species